CCAGAUUAAUCUUCCUAAAGCAGAGCUCAAUUGAAGUCUUUACUCUGAACCUCUGAGUAGAAACUCAUCAACUUGGCUUUGAAGGCCGUAAAACCCUCGUAUGAGGGGUGCUCUCUCUGUACCCGGAGGAAAGGAAUAUCUCAUCCGAAGACAAAUGGACACCAGGAAGGGUCCUGACAAGCCUUCUGCUCCGCAGCCUAUCGUAUUCCCCCACGGCUGUCCACCCUUCCUCAAACCAGCACAAAAUACUCAGCUCACAUUUUCCGAAUGGGCCACAUGGAGAGAUAGAGACCGGGAAACUCUCAGCACCACCCAGCAACUUUUCUGAUCAGCGGGAUGACAGAGUUGUCAGCCAGACGGAGCUCCGUUAACCCAGGAAUGAAACCCACCUUUGUUGGGAAAUUCUGUGAUUAGCCUGCUUAGAAGCUGGGACCUAGUGUGAAGAACUGGCCCACCCAGAAUAAGGAGAGGAAUGUGUUGAUUGCCCUGGAGAGGCAAGGGUAGCAGGGCAGCCACUGAGAUGAUAGAAAGCUGGCUGUGCCCCGUGAGAUGCAUCCGUCCAGCAAUCCCACAAGUCCUUGGGAAAGAUCUUAGCCUCACAAAGUGCUUGGCGGGUGUGGAACUCCGGUGGGAAGCUGUGAAGAGAUCGUGUGCAUCCAAUGUCCCUCUCGG